rnacentral:lncRNA from 1 species
GGGAGGAGUCGCCAUGUGAUCCUAGCAAGAGAGGACUCAUGCCACCAUUGUCCUUGAUAAGGGUAAAAUUUGCCAUUGUUUCAUGCCUGCUGCACACUACACAGUGGUACCUUGGUGAGGACUCCACUCACAAAUCAAGGGAGCAAGAGUGAGCCUGUUCGCAUGUGAGCUCCCAUGAAAGAUCUGUGAAGACCCCACGGAACUGUGUAAAUCUCAAGAGGAUGACAGCCAGACUGAGACAGUACAACACCACUUGCUCUACAUGCUUCCCAUAGCCUUAUGUGUUAGAUGUGGUUAGGCUGGACCAUAAACUGUUUCUCAAGGAUGAAGAUGGAGCUGGAUGUCACUGCUGACAAUUUUAUCUCAGGCCCGGGUCUGAGUCUCCUUUUUUACCCCCUCCAGUUUCAAAAACAGAAUUGCUCCAAAUCAUUUUUCAGAAAAUGCUAACUAAGGUUGUAGUCUUUCAUAUGCACUUGGGAAGAAAAGUGCCUACAGGGCAAAAAACAUCUGGAGAGUUUUGGUGAAAAU